rfam:Triticum aestivum genome assembly, contig: Triticum_aestivum_CS42_TGACv1_scaffold_320257_4BL
CUAAUACUCCCCCCAUCCGAAAAAACUUGUCCCAAGUUUGUCUCUCAAAUGGAUGUAUCUAGCACUAACUUGGUGUUAGAUACAUCCAUUUGAGGGACAAGUUUUCUCGGGCGGAGGGAGUAUGUG